GGGAAUCUUCGGCAAUGGACGGAAGUCUGACCGAGCAACGCCGCGUGAGUGAAGAAGGUUUUCGGAUCGUAAAGCUCUGUUGUAUGAGAAGAACGAGUGUGAGAGUGGAAAGUUCACACUGUGACGGUAUCUUACCAGAAAGGGACGGCUAACUACGUGCCAGCAGCCGCGGUAAUACGUAGGUCCCGAGCGUUAUCCGGAUUUAUUGGGCGUAAAGCGAGCGCAGGCGGUUAGAUAAGUCUGAAGUUAAAGGCUGUGGCUUAACCAUAGUACGCUUUGGAAACUGUUUAACUUGAGUGCAAGAGGGGAGAGUGGAAUUCCAUGUGUAGCGGUGAAAUGCGUAGAUAUAUGGAGGAACACCGGUGGCGAAAGCGGCUCUCUGGCUUGUAACUGACGCUGAGGCUCGAAAGCGUGGGGAGCAAAC
rnacentral:rRNA from 1 species